GACGAACGCUGGCGGCGUGCUUAACACAUGCAAGUCGAGCGGUAAGGCCCCUUCGGGGGUACACGAGCGGCGAACGGGUGAGUAACACGUGAGCAAUCUGCCCUUCACUUUGGGAUAACUCUGGGAAACGAGAGCUAAUACCGAAUACGACCACUUCAGGCAUCUGAUGGUGGUGGAAAAGUUCCGGCGGUGAAGGAUGAGCUCGCGGCCUAUCAGCUAGUUGGUGGAGUAACGGCCCACCAAGGCUUCGACGGGUAGCCGGCCUGAGAGGGUGACCGGCCACACUGGGACUGAGACACGGCCCAGACUCCUACGGAGGCAGCAGUGGGGAAUAUUGGACAAAUGGCGAAAGCCUGAUCCAGCAACGCCGCGUGAGGGAUGACGGCCUCGGUUGUAAACCGUCUUUCAGUAGGACGAAGCGCAAGUGACGGUACCGUA
rnacentral:rRNA from 1 species